rnacentral:rRNA from 1 species
UGCGUAGGCGGCCUAGUAAGUCAGAGGUGAAAGCCCACAGCUUAACUGUGGAAUUGCCUUUGAUACUGCUAAGCUUGAAUUAGGUUGAGGUUGGCGGAAUGUGACAUGUAGCGGUGAAAUGCAUAGAUAUGUCAUAGAACACCAAUUGCGAAGGCAGCUGGCUAGACCUUAAUUGACGCUGAGGCACGAAAGCGUGGGAGCGAACAGGAUUAGAUACCAUGGUAGUCC